rnacentral:rRNA from 1 species
AACUCGCUGUGAAGAUGCAGUGUACCCGCGGCAAGACGGAAAGACCCCGUGAACCUUUACUAUAGCUUGACACUGAACAUUGAGCCUUGAUGUGUAGGAUAGGUGGGAGGCUUUGAAGUGUGGACGCCAGUCUGCAUGGAGCCGACCUUGAAAUACCACCCUUUAAUGUUUGAUGUUCUAACGUUGACCCGUGAUCCGGGUUGCGGACAGUGUCUGGUGGGUAGUUUGACUGGGGCGGUCUCCUCCUAAAGAGUAACGGAGGAGCACGAAGGUUGGCUAAUCCUGGUCGGACAUCAGGAGGUUAGUGCAAUGGCAUAAGCCAGCUUGACUGCGAGCGUGACGGCGCGAGCAGGUGCGAAAGCAGGUCAUAGUGAUCCGGUGGUUCUGAAUGGAAGGGCCAUCGCUCAACGGAUAAAAGGUACUCCGGGGAUAACAGGCUGAUACCGCCCAAGAGUUCAUAUCGACGGCGGUGUUUGGCACCUCGAUGUCGGCUCAUCACAUCCUGGGGCUGAAGUAGGUCCCAAGGGUAUGGCUGUUCGCCAUUUAAAGUGGUACGCGAGCUGGGUUUAGAACGUCGUGAGACAGUUCGGUCCCUAUCUGCCGUGGGCGCUGGAGAACUGAGGGGGGCUGCUCCUAGUACGAGAGGACCGGAGUGGACGCAUCACUGGUGUUCGGGUUGUCAUGCCAAUGGCACUGCCCGGUAGCUAAAUGCGGAAGAGAUAAGUGCUGAAAGCAUCUAAGCACGAAACUUGCCCCGAGAUGAGUUCUCCCUGACUCCUUGAGAGUCCUGAAGGAACGUUGAAGACGACGACGUUGAUAGGCCGGGUGUGUAAGCGCAGCGAUGCGUUGAGCUAACCGGUACUAAUGAACCGUGAGG